rnacentral:rRNA from 1 species
AGAGUUUGAUCAUGGCUCAGAACGAACGCUGGCGGCAUGCCUAACACAUGCAAGUCGAACGUGAUCCAUGACUUCGGUUGUGGUGAAAGUGGCAAACGGGUGAGUAACGCGUGGGAACCUGCCCAGAGGUAGGGAAUAACUGCGGGAAACUGCGGCUAAUACCCUAUGUGCCCUGAGGGGCAAAGAUUUAUCGCCUUUGGAGGGGCCCGCGUCGGAUUAGGUAGUUGGUGGGGUAACGGCCUACCAAGCCAUCGAUCCGUAGCUGGUCUGAGAGGAUGAUCAGCCACACUGGGACUGAGAUACGGCCCAGACUCCUACGGGAGGCAGCAGUGGGGAAUAUUGGACAAUGGGGGCAACCCUGAUCCAGCAAUGCCGCGUGAGUGAUGAAGGCCUUCGGGUUGUAAAGCUCUUUCGGCGGGGAAGAUGAUGACGGUACCCGCAGAAGAAGCCCCGGCUAACUUCGUGCCAGCAGCCGCGGUAAUACGAAGGGGGCUAGCGUUGUUCGGAAUUACUGGGCGUAAAGGGCGCGUAGGCGGUGCUGUAAGUCAGGCGUGAAAUCCCCGGGCUCAACCUGGGAAUUGCGCAUGAUACUGCGGCGCUGGAAUGCGGGAGAGGAUGGCGGAUUCCUGGUGUAGCGGUGAAAUGCGCAGAUAUCAGGAGGAACACCGGGCGAAGGCGGAUCUCUGGGCCAUUACUGACGCUGAGGAGCGAAAGCGUGGGGAGCGAACAGGAUUAGAUACCCUAGUAGUCC